AGUCAUUAAAAUUGAAAAUGAAUGUGCAACAUGGCAUUUGCUUAGUUAAUAUGUAAAGAUGUAUUCAAAAUUGUCUAAAGGGAGGCAUUGUGUAAUCUAAUGCGGAACCCUGUGUGCUUUGCUUUAGGAGUUCAUUUGCAGAUCACAAAAAUAUAACUAUUUCUCAAGAGUGAUAUAAGAGCCUCAUAGUGUGAUUACUUUAGUAGUUGGACCCAAACGAUAAUUAGUCCUUGCCCAUUCAGAGG